rnacentral:lncRNA from 1 species
ACUGGCAAGGAGGUGGUAGCAGGAAAUAGGCAUGUGGUGACUUCAGUAACAGAGACGACUGCAGGGCUGACCUAAGCUUAGUAGCCUGGCUUCUCCGGGAGCUGAGGGUGAGCAUCAUGCCUGCUCCAUCUCCCUCUUUGUUGUGGAUAAGGCAGGGUCAUCAAGACAGGAGGAUAUGAGGCAGAAUCACCACACAAGGGCACGGUGGCUCACACCUGUAAUCCCAGCAUUUUGGAAGGUGGAGGUGGGCGGAUCACCUGAGGUCGGGAGUUCGAGACCAGCCUGACCAACAUGGAGAAACCCCGUCUCUAUUAAAACAUACAAAAAUUAGCUGGGUGCGGUGGCAGGCGCCUGUAAUCCCAGCUACUUGGGAGGCUGAGGCAGGAGAAUCGCUUGAACCUGGGAGGCGGAGGUUGCAGUGAGCUGAGAUCGCGCCAUUGCACUCUAGCCUGGGCAACAAGAGUGAAACUCCGUCUCAAAAAAAAAGAAAAAAAUCUUUUUCUUUGUCACCUAUGCAAUGUUUGACCUGCAAGUGCUUGUAUCUUUUGUAAUUGUUUAAAUCCCUCAAAAUUUUAAAUGAGUAUUGAAUAUAUUUUGUGUUUUUCCAAAUAUAAGAUUCUAUAAAGAAGAGAAUGAUGUAAGUGACCCGGGGGCAAUGGGGGGAGCUUAAAUUUGAAACUAGAAAAAAUUUUGAACAAAAUAAUCAUAAUUGUUAGCUGAUGAAAAACUAGAAAAUAUUUUCUGAGUAAAUUCUUGAUUUCAGAAAUUAACUAUAAUUUAUAUUGCUCUUAAUAUCUUACCCUUGAAUAUAAAUGAUUAAUGCCCUUUAAAAUGUCCUUUUUUCUAGCUAACCUGAUGUACAUAUGACAUUAAUCCAAUAGACUUAGGAAUAAGAUACAGGGGGUUUUCCUGAAUGAUUCGAGUAUAUCCCCAUUCAUAUUAAGAAAACAAAGUAUUGGCCAAGCGUGGUGGCUCACGCCUGUAAUCCCGGCACUUUGGAAGGCCGAGGCCAGUGGAUCACCUGAGAUGGACUCAACGACUCUCUUACCGUCCAGCUCUCAAGUCCCUUCUCUUGUGAAAAUGGAAAAGUUGAACUACAGUUGAGAUAUUAUUCCCAGGUGUUCUUUGGAACACAGGGGAUUUCUCCAAAAGGCACAGAACAAAUUGCCUCCAAACAGCCAAGAUUCCAGCAGAAGCUGGAGUAGCAGACUACUUGGAUCUUCAAAGUACCUGGCCCUGAGUCAGUUAAGGAAGAUCUUUUCUUCUCUUUUGUACAAUCCUAUGAUGAGAGCUGCAAAGUGAACUGACUAAGAGCUUCUGCCUUGAUCAUUGACCUCCCAAUCCUAAUAAUAUGUUCACUGGCCAAACUUCCUAAUCGAUUUGUCUUUUGGAUAUAACGUUCCUCCUACUGUUUGCCUGAUUGAGAAAUCUGCUACAGAACAUGACCGGUUAGCAUUCCCACCAACCCCAGUGCUACACUGACUGUCUUUCGAUGGACUUUGCUCCUUGCUGCCUCUCUGAGGUCCCAGACCUUCAGAGUGACCUUCACAGCUCUGCCUAACUUUCUGUCAUACUUCUAUCAAGAGAGACAGCUAAAUCAAUAUUUUUAAUGUGCUUUGCUGUCGGAAUUCGAUGAUCUGUCACAGUUCUUGCCCAAUACACCCCAUCAUUAUUGUUAAAAUGUUUUUAGCUUUGUUUGUAGAAUUGCUUUAACUGGUUUCAUCUCUGGGAGCUACACUUUGAAAUAUAACUUUAGCAACA